AACGAACGCUGGCGGCAGGCUUAACACAUGCAAGUCGAGCGCCCCGCAAGGGGAGCGGCAGACGGGUGAGUAACGCGUGGGAAUCUACCCAUCUCUACGGAAUAACGCAUGGAAACGUGUGCUAAUACCGUAUACGUCCUUCGGGAGAAAGAUUUAUCGGAGAUGGAUGAGCCCGCGUUGGAUUAGCUAGUUGGUGGGGUAAAGGCCUACCAAGGCGACGAUCCAUAGCUGGUCUGAGAGGAUGAUCAGCCACACUGGGACUGAGACACGGCCCAGACUCCUACGGGAGGCAGCAGUGGGGAAUAUUGGACGAUGGGCGCAAGCCUGAUCCAGCUAUGCCGCGUGAGUGAUGAAGGCCCUAGGGUUGUAAAGCUCUUUCACCGGUGAAGAUAAUGACGGUAACCGGAGAAGAAGCCCCGGCUAACUUCGUGCCAGCCGCCGCAGUAACAC
rnacentral:rRNA from 1 species